rnacentral:rRNA from 2 species
CCUACGGGAGGCAGCAGUGGGGAAUUUUGGACAAUGGGCGCAAGCCUGAUCCAGCCAUGCCGCGUGAGUGAAGAAGGCCUUCGGGUUGUAAAGCUCUUUCAGCCGGAAAGAAAACGCACGGGUUAAUACCUUGUGUGGAUGACGGUACCGGAAGAAGAAGCACCGGCUAACUACGUGCCAGCAGCCGCGGUAAU